rnacentral:rRNA from 1 species
UGGGGAAUUUUGGGCAAUGGGGGAAACCCUGAUCCAGCCAUCCCGCGUGUGCGAUGAAGGCCCUCGGGUUGUAAAGCACUUUUGGCAGGAAAGAAACGUCAUGGGUUAAUACCCCGUGAAACUGACGGUACCUGCAGAAUAAGCACCGGCUAACUACGUGCCAGCAGCCGCGGUAAUACGUAGGGUGCAAGCGUUAAUCGGAAUUACUGGGCGUAAAGCGUGCGCAGGCGGUUCGGAAAGAAAGAUGUGAAAUCCUAGGGCUCAACUUUGGAACUGCAUUUUUAACUACCGGGCUAGAGUGUGUCAGAGGGAGGUGGAAUUCCGCGUGUAGCAGUGAAAUGCGUAGAUAUGCGGAGGAACACCGAUGGCGAAGGCAGCCUCCUGGGAUAACACUGACGCUCAUGCACGAAAGCGUGGGGAGCAAACAGG